UUAAUUGAAACCAAAAUAGAGGUAAAUCAUUGUUAAUGAUUGAAUUGAGUUUAUCCUCCAAUUAAG
rnacentral:tRNA from 1 species